rnacentral:rRNA from 1 species
CCUACGGGAGGCAGCAGUGGGGAAUAUUGGACAAUGGGCGCAAGCCUGAUCCAGCAAUGCCGCGUGAGUGAUGAAGGCCUUAGGGUUGUAAAGCUCUUUUACCAGGGAUGAUAAUGACAGUACCUGGAGAAUAAGCUCCGGCUAACUCCGUGCCAGCAGCCGCGGUAAUACGGAGGGAGCUAGCGUUGUUCGGAAUUACUGGGCGUAAAGCGUACGUAGGCGGUUAUUCAAGUCAGAGGUGAAAGCCCGGGGCUCAACCCCGGAACUGCCUUUGAAACUAGGUAGCUAGAAUCUUGGAGAGGUCAGUGGAAUUCCGAGUGUAGAGGUGAAAUUCGUAGAUAUUCGGAAGAACACCAGUGGCGAAGGCGACUGACUGGACAAGUAUUGACGCUGAGGUACGAAAGCGUGGGGAGCAAACAGGAUUAGAUACCCUGGUAGUCCACGCCGUAAACGAUGAUAACUAGCUGUCCGGUCACUUGGUGACUGAGUGGCGCAGCUAACGCAUUAAGUUAUCCGCCUGGGGAGUACGGUCGCAAGAUUAAAACUUAAUGAAUUGACGG